CACGUAGUUAGCCGUGACUUCCUCGCCGGGUACCAUCACUCAGAAAGCUUUCCACUCUUUCUGCCUUUUGUCCCCGGCAACAGAGCUUUACGAUCCGAAGACCUUCCUCGCUCACGCAGCAUUGCUCGUUCAGGGUUCCCCCCAUUGACGAAAAUUCCCUACUGCUGCCUCCCGCAGGAGUCUGGGCCGUGUCUCAGUCCCAGUGUGGCCGUCCGCCCUCUCAGGCCGGCUAUGCAUCGUCGCCUUGGUGAGCCGUUACCUCUCCAACCAGCUAAUGCACCGCAGGUCCAUCUGCAUGCGGGACUCUUGUCCCCUUUACAAAAAGAGAUGCCUCCUCUUGCUCAUCCGGUAUCAGUCCUUCCGUUUCCAGUACGUUCUCCCGCUCAUGCAGGCAGGUUCCCUAGUGUUACUCACCCGUUGCCCAUCAUAUACCGAAGACUAUCCGUUCGACUUGCAUGUAUUAGGCUAGUCGCCGCAGGUCCGUUCAUCCU
rnacentral:rRNA from 1 species